CCGAGAUUGGGCUUGGCUGAUCUUGGUUCUCACUUGUAUUCCUUUCCAUUUCUGGCUUUGCAACUGUCAACACUCCCUGCAUGUAAGGUUUAACGUUAAAUCCAAGGCACUUUUACGUAAUCAGUAGAUCAUACAAGUCAAGAUUCAAGAAUUUGGCAUUUGCUCAACAACAUUCAUUAAAGGCACUAGCUUUCUAUGGCUAAGUAAACAGCUCAACAACGAACCCAGCUGAUUUAGUAAAUGAUCAAAAUGCAUUCAGUCCUAUGGGUCCAGCUGUGAGAAGAUUUCCUAGGUAAUUUGAAUGACUAAGUGAAAGGGAACAAAAAGUGGGUAAAGCAGAUUGCUUCUUACCUCAUGAGAAGCAUCCAAACUUGAAGAGCAACACUCUUCCAUGCCAUUCUUGCUGAUGCGUGAAGAUCCAUCGUCACUGGUUCGGACAGGAUUUGGCACCAGCGAUCCUGGUGCUUCUGAGGGGACGGAUUGGCAGUCAGCUUGAGAUAGAGAUGCACUG
rnacentral:lncRNA from 1 species